AACCAGCACCUCAAGUGGUCAGGAUGAUUAUUGGGCCUAAAGCAUCCGUAGCCGGCUCUGUAAGCCCUCGGUUAAAUCUGUACGCUUAACGUACAGGCUGCCGGGAAUACUGCAUAGCUAGGGAGUGGGAGAGGUAGACGGUACUCGGUAGGAAGGGGUAAAAUCCUUUGAUCUAUUGAGGAACACCAAUGGCGAAGGCAGGUCUCUGGGCCAUUACUGACACUGAGGAGCGAAAGCGUGGGGAGCGAACAGG
rnacentral:rRNA from 1 species